rnacentral:lncRNA from 1 species
CAUCUCUCUGAUUCUUUGUAAGCUGCUUACAUACAAGCAGAAAAGAACAAGAAAGAAAAAAUUAAAUAGGAAAAUGGACUUCGCCUGGUGUGUGGUAUUUCUCUUAGAGAAUUUCUAGAUGUGUUUGAAGGGAUUCUCUUUGUAAAUUCCAGCUCAUUUCAAGAGAAAAAGCAGUAGGAAGACACUUAUCUGAAGAGAAAAGUUGGACUUGCCAUUGCUCAUGUAAUGGAAAUUUUAGAGUCUCCAGUAAUAACAAGGAAAGAAUUUAACAGGUAAUCAUUUGCUGAAGAGCUCUCAUGAUAAGCACAGAAAUUAACAGGAGCAGUAGCCGGAAAAUGCAAUGUGC